CAAAAACAACAAUAUGCUGAAAUAAUUUCACCCAGCUGCAUUCAUUUUGGGUAGGAAAAAAACGCAUGCUCUGACACCUCCUUUUCUUUCUGAUCUUCCCUGAUCAAUUCAAAACCUCUCAAUCCUUACAUCAUCAUUUUGAGCAGUUCAUUGUAUCCAUCACCUAUAGCAUCAACCUGGGUAUCACAAAAGAUUUCCAAAACUUUAUCAAAAGCAAGCCAACAUGUCAGGUAUAUCACAGGCAUGGUCCCACAUGAGGGCAACUCAGAAAAAUCAGCUUGGGCAAGGUGCUCAAGAGAUUAAGACAUUCUUUUCUGAUGAAUGUUAGAGCCUCCCUUUUGUUUAGAAAUCUGAAGCCUUUUCCAGGAGGUAUUCCUGCUUUGCUCCAGUCUGCUGACUGGGACAAUGGAGGCCCCAACAGCUUCUGUGCAGUAAAAGGAGCAUUUGUAAAUUAUGGAAUGAGUAGAUUAGGAAGCCGUACCGAUGUGUAGGCUGCAUAACAGCUUCUAAACAAUUUAGAAAGGUGAAGGUGGUACUUCUGAGGAGCGUGGUAACACGGGUCUCUGUCAGUACAUCCAUCUCACCUCUUGCAGUAAUAUUUACCUCCCGUGGGUAAAGAUGUCCUCAUUCGGGUGUAGGGGGAAGGGGCCUGAAAUACCUCCCCACACCUCCUCAUUGAUGGCCCGGUGAUGACUUCUGUAUGAGAGCGCAGCAAUUCUGUUUGUUUGCCGUUGUGCCUUUAGCAAAGCAUAAUCUAGAGACAGGAUAAACCAACCCAGACAGAUCAAGUAAUCCACAUGAGAUCACGAAGCAAAUUGGUACAAGCACUGGAAUUAGGGCUUUUGCUCUCCCAGGCCCACUUCUAAGAACACCUGAACAUAGAGGCUCCAGAGCAUGCAAUGCUUUUAAGGGAGAGGGAAAUAGUGAUGGGUGUAUUAAUUCUUAAGCUUUCAUAUCUAUUUCACAUGACAUUUCCUCUCCUGAAAAAAAGGUUCUGGCUUUUUUUUUUUUAAUUUUUAAACUAACUGAAGUUGUGGUUCCAUAAUACCACAGUCACAUCCAUGGAGUAUCAAAACAUGCUACUCACUCCAUUAUUGUCAGUUUUGUUUGUUUCAUUUGUAUGAAAAUGUCCAUAAUGGACAUAUUUCCAUAAAUUAGUUGAUAUUGUGCUAACAAACGUUACGGAUUGGCACAAAUUAAAAAAUUUAUGCCUACAAAGUCUCAAUUCAUCUUGAAGUUUAAUUAUAAAAAUUUAUUGUUAACUUUCUGGUCUUUCCUUAGUAAAUGCCCCAAGACAAGAAAUAAUUAUCAUAAAAUGCAAACAUGGCUCCCAGAGGUAACCAGCACAAGGGUAAUUUAUUGGCUAAUAGGGUAUCUUAGCAUUUGGUAUCAUGCAAAUCCUUCAUCGUUAUCGAGUUUUAAUUUACACCUUUCAUUUCCUUUUGCUCUACUAAAUCCAUUUCUGAUGUUGUGUUAUCUGUAAUCACAAUAAUUGUACCUCUUUUUUUUUCCUUUUUGGAUAUGUAACAUUGGCAAGAAAAUAGCUUAUCACUUAAAGACAUGAAGGGUCCAGGGUUUUGCAAUGCUUUCUGCAACUCAAAGCCAUAUUAAAUAAGUUUCCACAAGUGAAAUCUCUCUGUGGGCGCUUUGAUCGUCUUUGUGUCAGGGUCUCUGCAGCUCACCAGUUCUCACCCCUCCUUCCAGCAGCCCCAAAAUCAGACUGUCAGCUCUCCUUCCCCUGGGGAAGGUACAAAAUUCUCCCCUUGCCAACAGAAUUAACCCCACCAAGGUGCAGGUCCCUUGGUAUUAGCUAUGGGACUCCCAAAACCCCAGACUUGCAACUGCCUGACUCAACUCCAUCCACACCUAAGGGCUGAAAUGGGGGAGUAGGUGCACGAGCCAUCACCUCAGCAUGGAGCACCAAAGCCAAACAGACUGUCAGGGCUUUGCACCAGCUGAUGGCACAGGCAGUUCUUCCUUCCCUUAGUUCUUCCCAGGGAAUAUUUGGAAGACAGGAAGCAGGAUGAUACUUCAGCUUUAAAUAGAAAAGUCAGCUUCUUCUUCCAGCAUGUAGGGAACCUUGCAAAAUCAUCGGGGAUUUGCACUGAGACAGGGAUCCCAUAUGAGCAAACGCUGCUCAGCACGAUCAUGGUUAUAUCCCUGCUGCUGCCAACAGGUCACUCGUGAAGGCCUGAGCUUGCUCCACUCUUGGCACAAAAUCCCUAAGAGAAACUAAGCUCCACCCUCGCUGCUCAUGGGACCUGCCCAAGCCACGCCAAGCUAGCUCACAAGCAUCUGAAGGAGCUUCAGAUCCAGCUACGCCAUGGGCAUAGGCUGCACACCAGAUGUUAUGGACCAAGGAGGGCAGCCUUGCCAGUGCCCAAUCUCCAAAAUCCUGCUUCCAGUUCACAAGCAGGUCAAGGAAAUUCAGCUUGGAGAUGAGACUGCCACCAACUCACCCCAGAUCAGACAUCCAGCAUCUCCUGCUGCCACCUGAACCUCCAGGGAGCAUCAGCCCGUAGAGAAAUCAAAUACCCCUGAUUUCAGAUCUUUCUUUCAGAAGAUAUUCAGAUAUUUCUUUCCCAAUAUAAAAUUAGUUUGGUUAUGUAAUUAUUUCCAGUACUUGACCAGAAGUAACUGCAGACGUAAGUGGUACAUGCUCACCAUCAGCCAUUUUCUAGCUUCAGUGCAGGCACUUGGACCAUAUUGCUGUCAGUAGAGUUCCCUGUCCCGAUACUGUAUCCUAGUGAAGCAUGCAAUGUGCCAAUUUACGUGUGGGUGGGCUGGUAGCUUCAUAAGGAGCCGUGCCACAUACUGUGGUGUCUGAAGCACCAGUGUGUGCACUGACACACCACUCAAGGUGACGUUUCCUUUCCAUUUUCCCACCAAAGGAGAAGGAGCACCCCCAGGAAGCCCUCUAGACUGUGCUCGCCACGUCCCCAGGGUGUUGGCCACGUGUCUUCCAGCCCACAGCAGACCAGGGCUGCCACACUUGCUACUCAGAACUCUUGUAACAGCCAUCUUCAGCAAACGGCCACUACGAACCAGCUUUGUCCAUCCUGCGGUCUCCCUCAGCAGAAGGUCAUUUUACUACAUGUAGCAAGAAGAAACGUGGCCAUGGUUUAACGGCAAGAAUAGGGAUCAGGACUCCUGCAUUUCUAUUUCCAGCUCUCACAGAAAUUCGGGGUGUGCCCUAAACAAAACAUUUGUGCCUAGUUGUCUGAGUGCCCACACAGAGACCAGGAGACUUGCGGAGGCUCAGCACUUCUGAAAACCACAAGCUUGCUUUGUGCCUCCGAUAAUCCACCCGAGCACAGCACUGUGCUGCCUCAGCAGGAACAGAGCGCCUUUUCAAGGCUUGUAAAGCUCCAAGAUCAUCUUUAAGAAAAAGUGGCACAGAGCAGUCAUGCUUACACACCAUGCAACAUCCUCGGGAGCCUCCUCACAGACCUUCACCCCCAGCUUUGCUCUCCAGCGCCAGCCACAAAGCCUUGCCAUAGCACAGGAGCUGCAGUCGUUGAUGGUAACUUCAGUUUUUCUUUUUUCUGCUUACAAAGCUAGGCAAAUGCUUUUUAAUUGUCGAUUAAUAUUCGCAUCAAGUGCCGAGUGCCUGGAAUUCCUGGGUAUGGCUUUUCUGGGCUAGCAGCAACAGCUCCGUGACGGUGAUUCACUCGGACACGGCUGAGCGUGCUGCCAGCAGCACCCAAGUUCAGCUGCUGCUGGUGCAGAAAUGAUUCACAUUUCUGAUGUUGCUGUCGGACGGAGGGAUAUAAACUUGUGCACAUUCGGAAAGACAGACGGAAGAGUUUUGCUCUCUGAUUACUUCAGCCCUGCCUGCUGCUCCUCCCAUGGUGAACUGGAAACAGCACGAGCAUGAAACCUAUGGGCAUGGCAGCAGCUUCACCUCAAACCGUGUACUUUCAUCAGUUCUCUGUGCAUUUAAUGACCUUAUAUUGCUUAAUACUCAAAAUCAAAAUAUACUUCAGA